CUUGCCUGAAAAAUCCCAUGGACAGAGGAGCCUGGCGGGCCACAAUCUACUGGGGGCCAUAAUCCAUGAAGUCACAAAGAGUCGGACACAACUGAGCAUGCACUAUGUGCUAGGUGCUGAAGGUACAAAUAUAAAUUAAAUAGGGUCACUCUAAAAGGGAGGUCAUCUGAAAGGGAGGGAGUAUUUGCUAGUGAUUUUUAUUUUUAUUUUUUUAAUUUUAAUAUCUUUAAUUCUUACAUGCAUUCCCAAACAUGAACCCCCCUCCCACCUCCCUCUAGUGAUUUUUUAAAAAAUAUUUUUACUUAUUUAUUUGGCUGUGCCAGGUCUUAGUUGGGGCAUAUGGGAUCAAGUUUCCCAAUCAGGGACUGAACCUGGUCCUCUGCAUUUGAAGAGAAGACUCUUAGCCACUAGACCACCAGGGAAGUCCCUGUUGGUGAUCUUGAUGUCAAAGUAUUUUUCUGAUUUCACCUUAGAAGCACCCCAUAAAGCUUUUUGUGCGUGCAUGCUGAGUCUCUUAAGUCAUGUCCAAUUCUUUGACACCCUAUGGACUGUAGCCCACCAGGCUCUUCUAUUCCAUGGGAUUCUCCGGGCAAGAAUACUCUCACCUAUGAUAUAAUAGGGUUACAGUUGGUUGCUCUCCUGUGGUAAGCCCAUUUGCUGUUUCUUUUUUAUCUGUACAUCUUUUUGAGACCAACACUCACAUCCCAAAAGGCAAUUGUAAUCAAAGGAAGACAAAAGGAAGGCAGUAGUUUAAGGAAUUCUGAUCAGAACCAAGUUCUUAUGAUGCAGAUACUUGUAGAGAGAUUUCAAAGCACUUAAUCUGCUUUCUGAUUUCACUUGAUACACUUGAUUCACUUUCUGAUACACUUGAUGAUAGUGUAAUAACCUAUGGUAUAAGCAACCAUUGCUCUAUCUAAGGAAUCAAAUGAUUGCGAAUAUUAGGUCCUGUUUCUAAAUGUUUUCCUUUCUUUUGCAGGGUGAUAAAUGGGAGAGGGAGAGAGCUGACGUGCAUUUGAAAAAUGCACGUCAAUCAUUAGAGUCAUUUACAAAAGAACUUUGUAUUUCCUGUAAUCAUUAAAUUGAUUGACCAGUCAGGAAAAUAUGAUCCUUCUUUCUGUUUUGAGAUUGGCAAAUGGAAUCAUAAG
ensembl:lncRNA